AGUGUAAAGAAAACAUUAUGAUUUGUACAUUUUCAGAUUCUGCUUGGUCUAUUUUUAAACAAAGAAAACAAUCUGAAG